CCCCAUCGCUCCUCUCUCGCUCGUCUCUCCCUCUCCCCCGCACCACUUCUCGCCGCCGCCACCACCGACGGCGCCCGAUCCCGCCCGAUUCCAGCGUCCUCCGGCGCGCCCAGCACACCACCGUGCCCCCCUCUCAACGCUCCUUCCUCCCAUCGGGCCAGAUCCGGCGGGCGUGUCCUCCAGCGGCCAAGCGUGACCCUGCCCAGCAGCUAGGGUUUGGGCCAGCACAUCGCCGGCGUGGCUCCGGCGUUGCUCUGGUGACUUAGGUGAGUCCCUCCACUCCUCAUCGUCACAUCAUCUCGUCUCCCUCGCAGAUCUAGCGCACCGUAGCCGCUCGAGCACCGGGACGCCAUGGAUGGGAAGGCUUCUUCCUCCCCUGUCCCGAUGCCAUGAACGACGCAGCUCCACCAGACAGAGCUCCUUAUCCCGCAUCACUCAUGGAGCCUCCCUCUCAGCGCCCGGAGCCCUAGAGAGAAAGGAAUUCAAGGCCAUGGCUGGAGAGAGGAGCUGCUCCUAGUACAGGACGCCAUGGAAGGUGCUGCUCUGAUGAGGAGAAUCUGCUGCUGUAGGACGUCCUCCUCCCAUCCCCUACCCCCACACAUGGUGAGCUCCUAUGCAUAUGUGGAUAAUCAGGAACUAAUGUUUAAUUGGUUACUUCAUAAUCUGUUCCACUGUAUGCAUGAACGCUCACACAUUUUUUCCUGCCAUUUAUAUACAUAACUAUUGGACAGUGAGAAGAUUUCCGUUGUGUGCAUGAAUGUGCUUUUUUUCUCGUCAAUCCAUCUCUUAUCAUGCAUACAUCCUAUCAUAUAUUAUAUGAUAAAUCUUUUAGUUGCUCACUGUCUAUAGGUGCUCAAAUUUUUAGAUUCCAUAGAACUUCUGUUUGUAGUGAAAAAAGGGUAUAUGCAGCUUUUAAUCAAUGUCUAUUUAAAUCAAUAGAAUACAUAUUGAGUAUAUGUGUUCAUUGCAUCAUGUCGAAUUACUUUUCUGUUUAAAGAAGUAAUUACUUCUGUAUGUUGUGAUGCAUCCCAUAGUAGUUUGCACCCAGCAACCAACCAAGGGCUGAUGCAAUAUAUGUUACCAUGUAUAUUACCAGGUAUUUUUGCUUAGGCGCAAUCAUACUUAUGUAGUAGUAAAUAACCUGUCAUGUCAUUCUUCAAGUCUGCACAUAGCACUGUUAUUUUAGAAGCAGAUUUCUCAUCCUUCAGAAACCUGAACUUGCUUAAUAGCCAAUUUAGCAGAGUAUUACCAGUUCCUUGAUGUCAUUUCUGGUAUCCAAUCAUAUGACAUGUCUCGCGUAAAUAAAUAUGGGUCGUUGUCAAUUUUUUAAUCUACAAUUGAUCUAGUGUUUUUUACAUGGUAGCUUGAUAUCCUCCAUCCUUUUCUAAUAUUAAAACUUCAAAUAUGUGAGGUGCAUAAGUGCAUGAGGUGCGGUUCACCUUAGGCUGCUACCGCUCGUCAGCGGUCUGGUCCAGCGUCACUUAACCAUUGUGACCUGGCUGGUUUGGUUCAGCUUUGAGCUGCCCACCAUGGAGUGGGAGGCCGACAUGCUGAUGAACAUCAACACAGGAUCAAGUACGCUGGUGCACCGCGGCGUGCGGCGGCCUAUAUUCUUGUAGUGGUAUUGUAUAUGGUCUCAUCCAGCACCGAGUAUCCAUAUGUUGUUCUAAUCCUGAUGAUGAUGUUGUAGCAUAAAGUGGACACCAUAUUCAGUUUGUCUUGAUGCUUUAUAUCUUGUGGUUCUUGUCUGAUGCACAUUGUUCUUUGCAGGGUUAUGAUGAUAUUUCCAAGGAAAUAUACUGACCCUGAUGCGACAAAGGUGUCCAUUUUCCCUUUCUUGAACUUUUUUACUCUGUUAUUUGUUCUUCCUGUAGUUCCAGUUUCACAUUGCUGGUGUUUCAUGCAAUAUUCAUCAGAUCCUUCUUACAUGCCUUAUUAUUGAGUAACUUGAUUAGUAUUUCUGCCACUGUCCUAUCUCAGUAAACUGUUUGUUUUUUCAGUACCUAAAAAAGAAAGUAAAUCUAUUAUAUCUUGGUAUUCUAGAAUUUCAGUCUCACAGAAGUUACUAUGUGUCCUGCUUUAGCUUGCAAACCUGAGGCUCUGCUGUCUGUUCUCAUUUCUUAACUUUGAAAUGUUUCAAACUUAAGAGUGCCCUCAUCCUCUAUUACAUAUGUAUGCACCUUGGUAAGAAAUAUAUUGGUCUUGUAAAUAUCAUUGGGAAGUAUAUCUGCUUCUGUAUGUUCUUGCAAGCAUUAAAUGUUGCUGACAUUCUCACUAAAGAAUGUCCCUCCAGCACAUUCCUUUGAAAUGUGACCUUGAGUCAAGCUCCAAGAAGAUAUUCAAGAGAUCUGCAUCUGCUCUGGAUGCUCAUGUACAAGAUACUAAGUUAUUGGUUGUGUUAUUCUGGUUGGUACUAUCUUAUAAACAUGUGGUCUAAUGAUACUGCUGGGACAAAUUUGAUGAAAUGCUAUGCUGUUUCCUGUUUGUUCAUUCUGCUGUGUUAUUUUGUGAUCCUGUGGUGUAAUGAUAUUGUUGUGUUAUUUUCAGAAUUAUAUUAUUAUUACCAUUAUAUUA